rnacentral:rRNA from 1 species
ACGGAAGGCAGCAGUGGGGGAUAUUGCACAAUGGGGGAAACCCUGAUGCAGCGACGCCGCGUGAGUGAUGAAGUAUUUCGGUACGUAAAGCUCUAUCAGCAGGGAAGAUAAUGACGGUACCUGACUAAGAAGCCCCGGCUAACUACGUGCCAGCAGCCGCGGUAAUACGUAGGGGGCAAGCGUUAUCCGGAUUUACUGGGUGUAAAGGGAGUGUAGGUGGCCUGGCAAGCCAGAUGUGAAAGCCCGCGGCUCAACCGCGGGACUGCAUUUGGAACUGUUAGGCUUGAGUGCGGGAGAGGAAAGUGGAAUUCCUAGUGUAGCGGUGAAAUGCGUAGAUAUUAGGAGGAACACCAGUGGCGAAGGCGGCUUUCUGGACUGCAACUGACACUGAGGCUCGAAAGCGUGGGGAGCAAACAGGAUUAGAUACCCUGGUA